UGCCUGAUGGAGGGGGAUAACUACUGGAAACGGUGGCUAAUACCGCAUAACGUCGCAAGACCAAAGAGGGGGACCUUCGGGCCUCUUGCCAUCAGAUGUGCCCAGAUGGGAUUAGCUAGUUGGUGAGGUAACGGCUCACCUAGGCGACGAUCCCUAGCUGGUCUGAGAGGAUGACCAGCCACACUGGAACUGAGACACGGUCCAGACUCCUACGGGAGGCAGCAGUGGGGAAUAUUGCACAAUGGGCGCAAGCCUGAUGCAGCCAUGCCGCGUGUAUGAAGAAGGCCUUCGGGUUGUAAAGUACUUUCAGCGGGGAGGAAGGUGUUGAGGUUAAUACCUUUGCUCAUUGACGUUACCCGCAGAAGAAGCACCGGCUAACUCCGUGCCAGCAGCCGCGGUAAUACGGAGGGUGCAAGCGUUAAUCGGAAUUACUGGGCGUAAAGCGCACGCAGGCGGUCUGUCAAGUCAGAUGUGAAAUCCCCGGGCUCAACCUGGGAACUG
rnacentral:rRNA from 1 species